GACGAACGCUGGCGGCGUGCUUAACACAUGCAAGUCGAACGGAAAGGCCCUGCUUUUGUGGGGUGCUCGAGUGGCGAACGGGUGAGUAACACGUGAGUAACCUGCCCUUGACUUUGGGAUAACUUCUGGAAACUGGGGCUAAUAACGGAUAGGAGCUCCUGCUGCAUGGUGUGGGUUGGAAAGUUUCGGCGGUUGGGGAUGGACUCGCGGCUUAUCAGCUUGUUGGUGGGGUAGUGGCUUACCAAGGCUUUGACGGGUAGCCGGCCUGAGAGGGUGACCGGCCACAUUGGGACUGAGAUACGGCCCAGACUCCUACGGGAGGCAGCAGUGGGGAAUAUUGCACAAUGGGCGGAAGCCUGAUGCAGCAACGCCGCGUGCGGGAUGACGGCCUUCGGGUUGUAAACCGCUUUCGCCUGUGACGAAGCGUGAGUGACGGUAAUGGGUAAAGAAGCACCGGCUAACUACGUG
rnacentral:rRNA from 1 species